rnacentral:rRNA from 1 species
AUUGAACGCUGGCGGCAUGCUUUACACAUGCAAGUCGAACGGCAGCGCGGGGGCAACCCUGGCGGCGAGUGGCGAACGGGUGAGUAAUAUAUCGGAACGUACCCAGAAGUGGGGAUAACGUAGCGAAAGUUACGCUAAUACCGCAUACGAUCUACGGAUGAAAGUGGGGGACCUUCGGGCCUCAUGCUUUGGAGCGGCCGAUAUCUGAUUAGCUAGUUGGUGAGGUAAAGGCUCACCAAGGCGACGAUCAGUAGCUGGUCUGAGAGGACGACCAGCCACACUGGAACUGAGACACGGUCCAGACUCCUACGGGAGGCAGCAGUGGGGAAUUU